GACGAACGCUGGCGGCGUGCUUAACACAUGCAAGUCGAACGAUGAAGCCGGAGCUUGCUCUGGUGAAUUAGUGGCGAACGGGUGAGUAACACGUGAGUAACCUGCCCUUGACUCUGGGACAACUGCCAGAAAUGGUAGCUAAUACCGGAUACGACCCUCGGAGGCAUCUCCAGGGGGUGGAAAGAAUUUCGGUCAAGGAUGGACUCGCGGCCUAUCAGCUAGUUGGUGAGGUAAUGGCUCACCAAGGCGACGACGGGUAGCCGGCCUGAGAGGGUGGCCGGCCACACUGGGACUGAGACACGGCCCAGACUCCUACGGGAGGCAGCAGUGGGGAAUAUUGCACAAUGGGCGCAAGCCUGAUGCAGCAACGCCGCGUGAGGGAUGACGGCCUUCGGGUUGUAAACCUCUUUUAGUAGGGAAGAAGCGAAAGUGACGGUACCUGCAGAAAAAGCACCGGCUAACUACGUGCCAGCAGCCGCCGUAA
rnacentral:rRNA from 1 species